CAGCAGCUCAGGAGAACAUGAAAUCUACUGAACUCCCCCUUCACUGGGAAAACAGAGAACAAAACAAAAAACACAUCCACAAAAGGAGCAAGACGUCAGAAAGGUGAGAUGGGUAGGAAGCAAUCCCUUUAAUUACACAUCGGAGAGUGGCACACCUGUUUGGAUUAAUGUCAAGAUCCCCAUGGAAACAAGACACAACAUCUCAAUAUGUUCAAACUCCAGAAACAUAAAGGGCUAUGAGCACUGUAUUGCCAGCAGUUACCAGUAACUACACAGCUCUUUCUACGCAAGCGCAUCUAUUCUUAAGGAGCUAACUUUUCAUUAGCCUGAUGUGCUAUGACUCACAGCCAAAAUCCCAUUUGAUCUAAAAGACAAAUCUCAUACAGACAUGGAAUAUUGAUCCUGCAAGAAAAAGGAC